rnacentral:rRNA from 1 species
GACGAACGCUGGCGGCGUGCUUAACACAUGCUUUUCGAACGGAAAGGCCCUGCUUUUGUGGGGUGCUCGAGUGGCGAACGGGUGAGUAACACGUGAGUAACCUGCCCUUGACUUUGGGAUAACUUCAGGAAACUGGGGCUAAUACCGGAUAGGAGCUCCUGCUGCAUGGUGGGGGUUGGAAAGUUUCGGCGGUUGGGGAUGGACUCGCGGCUUAUCAGCUUGUUGGUGGGGUAGUGGCUUACCAAGGCUUUGACGGGUAGCCGGCCUGAGAGGGUGACCGGCCACAUUGGGACUGAGAUACGGCCCAGACUCCUACGGGAGGCAGCAGUGGGGAAUAUUGCACAAUGGGCGGAAGCCUGAUGCAGCAACGCCGCGUGCGGGAUGACGGCCUUCGGGUUGUAAACCGCUUUCGCCUGUGACGAAGCGUGAGUGACGGUAAUGGGUAAAGAAGCACCGGCUAACUACGUGCCAGCAGCCGCGGUGAUACGUAGGGUGCGAGCGUUGUCCGGAUUUAUUGGGCGUAAAGGGCUCGUAGGUGGUUGAUCGCGUCGGAAGUGUAAUCUUGGGGCUUAACCCUGAGCGUGCUUUCGAUACGGGUUGACUUGAGGAAGGUAGGGGAGAAUGGAAUUCCUGGUGGAGCGGUGGAAUGCGCAGAUAUCAGGAGGAACACCAGUGGCGAAGGCGGUUCUCUGGGCCUUUCCUGACGCUGAGGAGCGAAAGCGUGGGGAGCGAACAGGCUUAGAUACCCUGGUAGUCCACGCUGUAAACGGUGGGUACUAGGUGUGGGGUCCAUUCCACGGGUUCCGUGCCGUAGCUAACGCUUUAAGUACCCCGCCUGGGGAGUACGGCCGCAAGGCUAAAACUCAAAGGAAUUGACGGGGCCCCGCACAAGCGGCGGAGCAUGCGGAUUAAUUCGAUGCAACGCGUAGAACCUUACCUGGGUUUGACAUGGAUCGGGAGUGCUCAGAGAUGGGUGUGCCUCUUUUGGGGUCGGUUCACAGGUGGUGCAUGCCUGUCGUCAGCUCGUGUCGUGAGAUGUUGGGUUAAGUCCCGCAACGAGCGCAACCCUUGUUCACUGUUGCCAGCACGUUAUGGUGGGGACUCAGUGGAGACCGCCGGGGUCAACUCGGAGGAAGGUGGGGAUGACGUCAAGUCCUCAUGCCCCUUAUGUCCAGGGCUUCACGCAUGCUACAAUGGCUGGUACAGAGAGUGGCGAGCCUGUGAGGGUGAGCGAAUCUCGGAAAGCCGGUCUCAGUUCGGAUUGGGGUCUGCAACUCGACCUCAUGAAGUCGGAGUCGCUAGUAAUCGCAGAUCAGCAACGCUGCGGUGAAUAAAUUCCCGGGGCU